rnacentral:rRNA from 1 species
AGCGAACGCUGGCGGCAGGCUUAACACAUGCAAGUCGAGCGCCCCGCCAGGGGAGCGGCCGACGGGAGAGUAACACGUGGGAACAUACCUUUUGGUUCGGAACAACUGAGGGAAACUUCAGCUAAUACCGGAUAAGCCCUUACGGGGAAAGAUUUAUCGCCGAAAGAUUGACCCGCGUCUGAUUAGCUAGUUGGUGAGGUAACGGCUCACCAAGGCGACGAUCAGUAGCUGGUCUGAGAGGAUGAUCAGCCUCACUGGGACUGAGACACGGCCCAGACUCCUACGGGAGGCAGCAGUGGGGAAUAUUGGACAAUGGGGGCAACCCUGAUCCAGCCAUGCCGCGUGAGUGAUGAAGGCCUUAGGGUUGUAAAGCUCUUUUGCCCGGGAAGAUAAUGACGGUACCGGGAGAAUAAGCCCCGGCUAACUUCGUG